rnacentral:rRNA from 3 species
CCUGGGGAGUACGGCCGCAAGGUUAAAACUCAAAUGAAUUGACGGGGGCCCGCACAAGCGGUGGAGCAUGUGGUUUAAUUCGAUGCAACGCGAAGAACCUUACCUGGUCUUGACAUCCACAGAACUUAGCAGAGAUGCUUUGGUGCCUUCGGGAACUGUGAGACAGGUGCUGCAUGGCUGUCGUCAGCUCGUGUUGUGAAAUGUUGGGUUAAGUCCCGCAACGAGCGCAACCCUUAUCCUUUGUUGCCAGCGGUUAGGCCGGGAACUCAAAGGAGACUGCCAGUGAUAAACUGGAGGAAGGUGGGGAUGACGUCAAGUCAUCAUGGCCCUUACGACCAGGGCUACACACGUGCUACAAUGGCAUAUACAAAGAGAAGCGACCUCGCGAGAGCAAGCGGACCUCAUAAAGUAUGUCGUAGUCCGGAUUGGAGUCUGCAACUCGACUCCAUGAAGUCGGAAUCGCUAGUAAUCGUAGAUCAGAAUGCUACGGUGAAUACGUUCCCGGGCCUUGUACACACCGCCCGUCACACCAUGGGAGUGGGUUGCAAAAGAAGUAGGUAGCUUAACCUUCGGGAGGGCGCUUACCACUUUGUGAUUCAUGACUGGGGUGAAGUCGUAACAAGGUAACCGUAGGGGAACCUGCGGUUGGAUCACCUCCUUA